UUUGGGCGGUUUGGAGAGAACGAAGGAGCCGUCCCUCGAGCACUCGACCACCGGGAAGCCCAUGUUGUCCCUGAGAGAGAAACAUGUGCAACUGUGAUGGAGAGAUAUAACUCAUCCUCGCGUUCCUUUGGAUGAUUUGAAGCCAGACUGACAAUCAUUCACCAAGGAGGUUGCUCUCAAUGGUGUUUGUCUGUUUGAUGGAACUUACAAAAACUACUGAACCUAUUUCGAUGUAAUUUUGAGGAGAUGUGGAACAUGACCCCAGCAUGAUCAGAAGAUUUUAUUCAUUUCUCCAGAUGUUUCUUCAUCUGCGUUUCAACCUUAACAUGGAGGAUCUGGGCUCGCUCUCACCAGUCAGGAACUUUGUGCCAGUCGGUGAAGAUCCCUCCUGUACUCUGAGCCCCACACUCGAUCAGCCUAAUCAAGCGUACGGUGUGCAUGAGCGGCCCCAGAGCCACCGCGCUGUCCACGCAGCGUCCCGUCACCACGAUGUCGGCCCCGAGAUCCAGACAGCGCCGGAUCGGACCAGCUCUGAAGACAAAGAGAGUGAGAGAGAGUGAGAGAGAGAGAGAGAGAGAGGGUGAGAGAGAGAGAGAGAGAGAGAGGGUGAGAGAGAGAGAGAGAGAGAGAGAGAGCGCACCCUCAUGUGACAUGUGUCAGUGAGGACGCAGCCUGAUCUCUGACCAGUGAUCUUGAAUAAAGCUCCGAUCAGA